rnacentral:lncRNA from 1 species
UAUAUUCCCCUGCCUCGAUAGAUUUUUGUAUAUGAACAGGACCAUUUUUAAUGUAUAUUCCCCUGCUUCGAUAGACCUUAUACAUGAACAGGAUCAUUUUUAAUGUAUGUUCGCCCGCCUCGAUAAACUUUAUACAUGAACAGGGCCAUUUUUAAUGUAUAUAUUCCUCUGUCUCAAUAGAUUUUAUACCUGAACAGGACCAUUUUUAAUGUAUAUUCCUCUGUCUCAAUAGAUUUUUAUACUUCAAACAAGACGAUUUUUAGAGUAUAUCCUCAUUUCUUGAUAGAUUUUUAUGGAAGAAGGGGCUGUUUGAGUUAUAUUUCCGUGUAUUCUACUUGAUAAAUUUUGUACUUAUAAAACACUAUUUUUAGUGUACAUUUCCAUUCUUCGAUAGAUUACAUGCAUGAACAGGACCAUUUUAGAGUACACUUAUCGUGCAUUACUAGCUUUCGUAAGGAACACGACCACUUUAGGUAUACAUUCUUACGCCUUCUAAUUGAUAGAUUCUUAUAUACGUAUUAUUUACUCAAUUUCCAAUAUUUUGUUUGGCAUUUCGGUUUUUCUCAAGAGUAUUUUUUAUCCACCAUUCCCAUUUUAAAUAGCAUUUCGGAUGCGAAUGCGGCUAUACGUUAACUUCACACCUCGUAUAGAAAGGAAUGUAAAUUUUCUGUUUACCAAAAUCAUUUGGCGUAUAAAACGAAAUCGGAGAGAAGUAUUGCCAAAAUAGAAUUUUCAGAGUUUAAAUCAUUUCGAAACGUCGACUCUCCAACAAGUAACAAGUAUCCUUUUAUGUUCAAUAAAUUUCUACUGGUGCCAUCAACGACUUCCUACACAUCCUUUGGUAUAACUAUUUUACCAGAAAGAAAUAACAAAGCGGGAUAUAUAGAAUAUAUUCAACUCGGACAGACAACCGUUUAAUGUCUAUCAACAACGACACCCGUUUCUAAUCAAGUAGCACACAUAAAGAGAUCUUUAUGGACGACUAAAUGUUCUCGGCCGACAUUCUUACCUUAGGUUUGACGAUCUUUAUAAGCAGAACAUGGAAAGACAUAAAGAGGCUCUUUCUCCUGGCAUUUUCUACGCUUUGAUUACAUCAAACGCACUAUCUCGACAUCCGGAUCGGUCGAAAUUGUUUUUAAUUAACGCCUACAGCCGUCAUUUUAUCAAUAUUCAAGUUUUAAGAUUUUAAACAAACCUUGCAAAGAGAUAAGAGAAAAGCUCGAUUCAAGUAUGGCAGAUUGGAAACGAAGAUCCGUGUAAGUGCACGUAACCACAUCCAGUCUCUUGAUGGAUUACGAAGUUAAUUCUGCAGUCCUAAAGUAGGUUUAAGGAGUCGACGAUAAGAAUUUUAAAUUUGUGAAUUAGAGAAGAGGAGGAAAAAAAAAAAAAAAAAGAAAAAACCUCGACGCUUUCGGUUUUUACAGUGCGAGUCACGAUGCCAAACUUAAGGAUUUUUCCUCUUGUUUUUUCUUUCCUCUUCUUCUCCCCGUUUCUUUAUAGGAUACAAGUUUGUUUCUUAAUGCAUAAAGAAUUUAUCCACCUAGAUUAUUAUCGAUAGACCUCUAGUUCAAAAAUUUAUCGCUGGGUUUGCUUUACUCUUUCUUAAAACUUUGAGGAAUUGAUC